rnacentral:rRNA from 1 species
GAUGAACGCUGGCGGCGUGCCUAAUACAUGCAAGUCGAGCGGACAGACGAGGAGCUUGCUCCUCUGACGUUAGCGGCGGACGGGUGAGUAACACGUGGAUAACCUACCUAUAAGACUGGGAUAACUUCGGGAAACCGGAGCUAAUACCGGAUAAUAUAUUGAACCGCAUGGUUCAAUAGUGAAAGACGGUUUUGCUGUCACUUAUAGAUGGAUCCGCGCCGCAUUAGCUAGUUGGUAAGGUAACGGCUUACCAAGGCAACGAUGCGUAGCCGACCUGAGAGGGUGAUCGGCCACACCGGAACUGAGACACCGACCAGCCUCCUACGGGAGGCAGCAGUGGGGUAGCUUACAGUAUGAGCGAAAGCCUGACGGAGCAACACCGCGUAGGUGAGGGAGGUCUUCGGAUCGUAAUACUCUGUUAUUAGGGAAGAACCAAUGUGUAAGUAACUAUGCACGUCUUGACGGUACCUAAUCAGAAAGCCACGGCUAACUACGUG